rnacentral:misc_RNA from 1 species
UGAGUGACAAAAUCUAGCUACC